rnacentral:lncRNA from 7 species
CUCUGCUCUCCAAGGCUUAUCCGGUUAUUAUUAUCCCUACCUCUCGCAGGCGCAGCCGCAGCAAGGCAAAGAAUGCCACACCCACCCAUGGCGCUCCUCCUCUCCCCGACCGUUUCCUUCCUGGUCUCCCCGUCUGCUCCACGCCCUCGAGCUCUCUCCGCUGCCGCCAAUGUAUCCUACCCCGGUAAGCUCCGCUGAUGCGCAUCCUCGAUCCCCGUCGUCUUGUUCGAGUUCAACUCCCUUCUGUAUGCUGUCCUGGCUGGUUGGGGUCGGUUCCUGGGAUGGAUGCCAUGCCCUAUCAGCUGCAAUCCCCGCAUGGAACUGAGGAUGCGAGGUAUUUGGUCGCUUUGAUUGUGCGCUGGUCCAGCCCCAGGCAUUUCUGCGCCUAUGUGAUGCUGCUGGCUCGUUCGGGGAUUUCUUCGAACAUUAAUCGUGCAGCAGCAAUUUCUUCGUCAGCGCUCCCAAUAUUCUAGAGCUGUAUCAAUCGGGUCAGGAACGCUAGAACACCAAAUUUUGCUCCUUCCCUGCUUUAUUUGAUGCC